rnacentral:rRNA from 1 species
GGACAACCUGCCCAAAGGUCCGGGAUAACCCCGGGAAACUGGGGAUAAUACCGGAUAAAUCACGAGUACUGGAAGGUUUUGUGGUUGAAACUUCCGGGGCCUUUGGAUGGGUCUGCGGCGGAUUAGGUUGUUGCCGGUGUAACGUACCGUCAAGCCUGUAAUCCGUACGGGUUGUGGGAGCAAGAGCCCGGAGAUGGAUUCUGAGACACGAAUCCAGGCCCUACGGGGCGCAGCAGGCGCGAAAACUCUACAAUGCAGGCAACUGCGAUAGGGGAACAUCGAGUGAUACUCAUUUUGGGUGUCUGUCCCACCGUCUAAAAAACGGUGGUUAGCAAGGGCCGGGCAAGACCGGUGCCAGCCGCCGCGGUAAUACCAGCACCCCGAGUGGUCGGGACGAUUAUUGGGCCUAAAGCAUCCGUAGCCGGUUCUACAAGUCUUCCGUUAAAUCCACCUGCUUAACAGUUGGGCUGCAGAGGAUACUAUAGAGCUAGGAGGCGGGAGAGGCAAGCGGUACUUAGUGGGUAGGGGUAAAAUCCGUUGAUCCACUGAAGACCACCAGUGGCGAAGGCGUCUUACCAGAACGGGUUCGACGGUGAGGGACGAAAGCUGGGGGCACGAACCGGAUUAGAUACCCGGGUAGUCCCAGCCGUAAACGAUGCUCGCUAGGUGUCAGACAUGGCGCGACCGUGUCUGGUGCCGCAGGGAAGCCGUGAAGCGAGCCACCUGGGAAGUACGGCCGCAAGGCUGAAACUUAA